UGGGUGCCCAGGAAGUGGAAAUGGUAGACAGAGCAUCAUCUCUGCCACAGGAACCCUUCAGCUGUGUUGCUACUUCCUCCAUAGCCAUCAGGGUCCUUCCAUAGCCCUCCAGAAUACUCUAGCAUUUCUGUACAUACUGUCCAUCUUGUGACUUUUUUAGAGGAUGCAUUCUGUCCCCUGACUGGAUGGGAGCUCCUUAUUUUUCACAUCUUGGCUCUCCAGUGCCUGGUACAGGGCUCUAGAGGGAGUUGGACACCACCAUAAAUGGCCAGGAGGUGCCUUAGAUGCUCAGAGGUGGUCACCUGUGCUGUCCUUGCACAUUACUAAAAACAGUUAUGUGGAUGGAUACCAAAGUUAAAAACCAGUUACUCGUUUCUCGGUUGCUGAACUGGACAGAGAAGAGAGAGAAUCCAAAACUGAGGUCAGCUGCCUUAUCGAUUUAGUCAUGAGGGAGAAAGUUCUCCUAACCAGAACACCCAGGAAGUCCAGCUGGCUGCCUUCAGGAACUUACGUCCUGGAAAGCAAUGGGUCAACACCUAGUAUUACUUGUUGGAAUUGAACAAGGAUUUAUUUACUGAUCAGUCAAUUUUUUUAAUGUAUAUUUCCUGCUAAGAAUGGAAUUAAAAGGCAGCCAAUCCUGGCAGAAAUUGCUGAUUCCAUGUCUGAGGACAAGAAAUGUAAAAAUGGGUUCAGAACAUUUUGUCAUACCAGAAACCAGGGGAUAACCAAAUAUUGCUAGCAUCAUGCCAGAAUGACCUUGGAGCCAACCUGAAGAGGUUCCCAAUGGAUCUAUAAAUUCACAGGCAUUCAAAAGAAACAAACUUCUGAGGCCAUGUUGGAAGAUGUUAAAGAACCAUCUUAUUUUCAAAACCAACAAAGAAAAAAGAUCGUAUAUUUUGCUAUUCCUAAAUGAAUUGUACUUUAGGGUAACCAAAUAGCUGGUGGAAUAAUUUUUCUUUAUGGGAGUAUUCCAGCUAAUAAUGACUCUUGGUAAUGACUAUUGAUAACUUGUGAUAUCACAAAAAAAGAAACAACCUGACGCUAUAUGCCUCCUGACGGAAAUAACACAAUCCUAUGAAAUCAUGUUGCCCAAAACUUGAACCUGAUUCUGAUCAUGCUUCUAGAUGUAACUACCAAUUUUCAGAAAAUACAGUGAAGUAUUAAGUGGCACUAUAAGGAUCUAAGCAGCAAAAUCCAGGCUAUAGGUAAUUUGGGGGGACAAAAGCUCCACUGACAAAUUUCAAAGAACAAAGUAAGUGGUAAGAGAAGAGGGAACCUAUACAUCGAAAGAUACUUGAGAUAUGUAUUAUUUAAUUCCAGGGGACCUAGUUGGUUCUUUUUAAAAAUCUUGCAGCCACUAGACUAUAACCUCCAUAAGGGCAGGGCAUUUUGUCCAUUUUGUCCACUGCUUUAUGCCUCUUCCCUAAAUCUGGAAUAAUAUUUGUUCAUAGACAAAUACAUGACUUCAUCUCCCUGGCUGUAGCUAAUGAGAUAAGGAAUAAAUGACUGACUUAGUUAAGAGUAUUUGGGAGCAAAUGAGAGCUGAUGGGUUCUUCUGUUCCCUCCAAUGUUUGAUGAUCUCAGAGUCUGCUGAUUCUUCCCCUGAAAAUCUAUAUUUAGGACAGUUACUGACUGCCUUGGUUUGGUUCCAAAGGGGCAGACCCUGAGAACCCUGAGAAAAGUAUUCAAGUGCAAGGAGUUUAUUUUGGAAAGGAUCCCAGGAAACAUCUGUGGGUAAGUUGGGAACUGAGAAAGGAACAGAAUGGCAGCCAAUACAAGGUGUAUUAUAAAGCACAUUUCUUUAUGGACAUCUGGAGCUUAAUGUCAGUGGGGAGUUCUGGGAGUCAGUAUAGGGUUAUCCCACCCUAAGGGCAAGGGAGCUUUGGGCUUCGUACACCACUUCCAUCAGUCAUUGAUUGAGGACCACUGGGGUUGGGUGAGGGGUUGGUUUAUUCUGUAAGGAGGCACGGGUGGGGCACUUUCGUCAGGUACUACUCUGCUAAACUUAUUGACUCUGACAAUAUAUAUCUAAUAAGACAAAUAUUUAAUACAGUGCUAGGCUCACAUAGAUAUUAGCCUAGGGUAGUAAGUAAAUCAGAAUCUGGAGUCAACCCAGCUUGGGUUCAGCAAUAAUCUCUUCUAUUUACUUGCUUUGUGACCCUGAAAAAAGUCACUCCACGUCUCUGCACUUCAGUUCCCUCGUAUAUAAAAGGGUCUGAGGCAUAAGAUUGAUAUGGAGAAUAAAUAAGAUCGUACCUGGUACACAGUCAGCGCUAGGAAAGAAAUUUACAUCUUUUCCCGUCUCCUGGAUUGAAGCCAAACAAUAAAUUACAAAAUUUCAGGCGUCAGUGACCCAGGAGGAAUCUGUACGGAGAGGACGAGGAAAAGGGAAGACAAUUCUGGUAUUCCUGAGUUACAACAUGGAGGAAACACCACUGCCCUGCUUCCUAAGUUUGGACCUUGCGUGUCCACAAGAGUGCAGUACCCCUGCGGACAUGGAGAAGCUCGAGAGAGAGGUUUUUUCAUGUGAGGAUGACUAGUGAAGCCAUUCAGGCAAAUAUUGGGACCUUUAGUCCCUGAGAGGUCAGAGAUCUGAAUGCUGUCCUAGACUUUGACAACCUACUAGCUCAACUUAAGCAUUUUUAGAGAAUGUAUGUACAGUUCAGUAUAGAUCGCUUGACUGAGUUAGAAAACACCGCCUAGAGUUUUCACUGGGGCAUGGGACAUAGAAACACAACUUGGUGAGAGACAGAAUUGCUCCAGAGGGAAAGAGGGUCACUCGGCCCGUGGCCUGUGGUGCCUGCAGUGCCUGAGAAGACUUUUCAUUCUCAUGUGUUGACAAAAACCACUGGUAUCACUCAUGCACGUGACCAUACGUUCUAGUCAAUCUCAAAUUUAUAUGGAGCUGGAAAUGAAAAGGGCACAGUUGGAAUCGUUGGGGUUUUGGUGUCUCCUAGAUGCUUCAAGACUUUGUUGUGAAGCUUUCAGGGAUCAUACCUGGUUGUGGCUUGUGGUUUCAGUUGUCAUUGAGAGGGGCCAAUUUUUUAAUGAAUGACUAGAAUGGUAGUAGGCAAAUGACAAGUGGGCAGGGGUAGGGUGAGGGAGGAGUUCUCAAGUACAUAUGUAAAAAUAAGAAAGGAGAAGAAGAAGGAGUAGGAGGGGAGGGAGAAAGGACAAGAAAGAAGAAAGAACAGGAAAAAGAAAUCCAAAGGACUGGGAUAUAAAAAUUUCCAAAGAGAAACUCUGUAGUUUACCCAUAUAUGUGCAGUAAAUAUUUGCCAGUCCCUUCUAAUGUGUCAAGGAUGGUUCUAGAUGCUGAAGACACAUCAGUGAAUCAAACAUGCCUUUCUGGCAGUUAUGUUCUAGUGGUCCUGCUGGAACAGAGAUCUAAAUCCAGAUCUGCCUUUUACAGUCUAAAAGGCACAACACGGCAGAGUGUCUGCUGUGAGAAGUCUCCCUGGCCAGAUAGGAUUGGAAAUUGGAAGAGAACUGACUCAGAGCAAAUGUUGCCAAGCAACAGAUCAGAGUCACCAAAUCCUCGGAAACGUUCUGGCUGAGCAUGCACUGUGGGGUGAGAGCGGGUUCCUGUCUCUGUGGGAGAGCGAAGUGUUCAAGUGAGGCCCUCGGGGGGAGUUCUUGAUGCUGGCUACAGCUUUGAUGAAGGCUUCAGCUGAAAGAUACUUCAGGUCGUAUGUGGGACCUGCCGGGACCUGCUGGAAUUUGAAUCUGGUCUAGAAUCAAAGGUUCACCCUGACGAGGGUCACCAGUCUCUCGUAUAAAGCCUUUGAAGAGACCAUUUCGAAUCUUCAGGCACAAGGAUGAAAACUUCCUCAGACACGGGAGAAAGAAUUUCUUCUACUGGCAAAGAAGAGUCAGUAGAACUUGGGGAUUGAAGGUCCCCAGCUGUAUUGACUCUGCCUAUAUGCCCCCUUCCCAAUUUUUAGGGUCCCACUCCUUUCCAAUCAUUGCCUUAAUUUUAGUAAAAAAAGAUCCUGUAAGGUUGGCCAUUCAAUUGGAUUGGACUUUGGGCUUGGUUUUCAGAAAUCCUGGCCCUGUAGCUACUGGAAAAAGGUUUGGUUUUAGGGCAAGCACAGAUUUCUUGUCCUUUCGUCAGACCUUGAGUUGGGAAUUUAAAGCCCUAAGUGCAUCAUUUUCUCCCUCAAGUUCUCCAGAAUUCAGCCAAAGAACUCUAUUAUAUAUGAAGUUUUUUUAUAUGUGUGGAAGAAACUACUUUGUCACCAAAGCUUUGUUUGCUAUGGACAUUUGACUGCAGGUAAUCGUUAAAGUAACUUCUGCUGUCCAUCUCACAGAGCCCCAUUAUCAGGUAUUAUUAAUGAUCCUGGAUUAUUAAUGCCUUUACAUUGAAUAAGAUCAGAGAACAAAUUUCAGAUAGACUAGAAUUGGGUCAGAGAACACAUCUUCUGGAACCAUGUCUGAUACCAGUUUCCCUGUACUUCCCGGUUCAGUCAGAGAAGCCAAAUCACUCUCAGUGAUGCCGAAUAAUGGAUUUAUUUCAGGAAUUAGACCUUACACGGUUGUAGAAGCUGCUGGGGGACUCUCUGCAAGGCUGUUGUCUCUCCAUCUGGUGGUGACCCUCAAGUCUUUAUAGUUUUAGGACCACCUAGUGAGGAAGGAAAGCUAGAUGUGAAAUGGGAUCAACAAGGGCAGAUUGUGACCCAUGAGAAGAAACCAGAGCCUGUCCAUCUGUCACUGUCUCCAACCCUGAUGGCCCAGGGAACCUGUAGGAGAGGCUGGUGGUCUUCCCCAUGGAGCUGGGCACAUGCCUGGCCCAGGACUCAGAGACGCCGAAGGAAGAGAUCUGGGGGGAAGUGGAGAAGUAGCAGCCACGGGACAGGGUGUGGCAGCAUAUCCGUGACCACGCUGUGAGCCAACCGCGGCCGGAGUCCGCACUGACCGUCGGGAGCAUAAAAAUAUGGCGGAGGCCUCACUGUUGAGUUCCAGAUAUCAUGCACAUUUCUCUGGUGACCAACCCUAACCCCGGAAGAUGCAGGAGGAGAAUGCUGGAAAUGUAU